UACGUAGGGUGCGAGCGUUUAAUCGGAAUUACUGGGCGUAAAGCGUGCGUAGGCGGUUCUCCAAGUCCGUUGUGAAAUCCCCGGGCUCAACCUGGGAAUUGCAUUGGAGACUGCAAGGCUAGAAUCUGGCAGAGGGGGGUAGAAUUCCACGUGUAGCAGUGAAAUGCGUAGAGAUGUGGAGGAACACCGAUGGCGAAGGCAGCCCCCUGGGUCAAGAUUGACGCUCAUGCACGAAAGCGUGGGGAGCAAACAGG
rnacentral:rRNA from 1 species